UCCUGGACAUUGGGACUGAGAUAAGAAUUCUGAGAACUGGGCUUUCAUCCAAAACCUGCACUCAAGUCAGGAUACUUGGCAACAUUUGAUUGGAUCAUCAAGGGGAGAAGGAUUUGAGUUACAUCAUUUUGGUGAUUACAAAGCAGACAGACUGUGGGAAAUUCCAGGAUAGAUUCGUCUGAUUAGCAGAGGACACUUUCGUCAAGCAGCAAAACGGAGACCCAGUCCCUUCCUUCCUGAGCUUCUGUCACAUUCACCACACCCAACCAAUGGAAGGAGAAAUAGCAUAAAAGACGGUUUUGCAUGAAGGACUUUAUGGGCCAGUCUUGCAAUGAUACAUGUCACUUCCAUUUACAUCUAGUAUGUUGAACUUUGGCCAC